GACGAACGCUGGCGGCGUGCCUAAUACAUGCAAGUUGAGCGCUGAAGGUUGGUACUUGUACCGACUGGAUGAGCAGCGAACGGGUGAGUAACGCGUGGGGAAUCUGCCUUUGAGCGGGGGACAACAUUUGGAAACGAAUGCUAAUACCGCAUAAAAACUUUAAACACAAGUUUUAAGUUUGAAAGAUGCAAUUGCAUCACUCAAAGAUGAUCCCGCGUUGUAUUAGCUAGUUGGUGAGGUAAAGGCUCACCAAGGCGAUGAUACAUAGCCGACCUGAGAGGGUGAGCGGCCCCAUUGGGACGGAGACACGGCCCAAACUCCUACGGGAGGCAGCAGUAGGGAAUCGUCGGCAAGGGACGAAAGUCUGACCGAGCAACGCCGCGUGAGGGAAGAAGGUUUUCGGGUCGUAAAACUCUGUUGGUAGAGAAGAACGUUGGUGAGAGUGGAAAGCUCAUCAAGUGACGGUAACUACCCAGAAAGGGACGGCUAACUACGUG
rnacentral:rRNA from 1 species